AGGGAAAGCUAGACUAGUUGAAGAACAAGGCCUCGGUGAUUUUGAUCAAAUUUUACCCUGUUAUUUGCGAAUUUUAAUACAUUGUCUUUCGUAAUUACGUAUUUAGUUGCGAUAGCACCAAUAAGACUCUUCAACCUUUUAAAAAGUCUGUGAAAGGUUACAAGUGCCAGUAUUGGUCGUAGUGGUGGACACCUCCUUGGUCCUGUGUUGUGUUUACAAUUUAACACAGCAGCAGCUCUAUUGGACUGGGGUCUUGUUACAGCAGAUGUGCUUUUGUGAGUCCAUAGUUCCCCUGAGGACCACCACCCUUCCCUGAUAGCAGCCUGCCUUCCCCCACUUCAACGUUCCCAUUCAUCUCUAAAUAAGAGACUUUUUGCAGAUUCGGACAGAAAGAGAAAGCUGACAAAGGAAACACUGUGAAUUGAAUUGAAUAGGAAAGGAAGCAAGGGGAAUCCAGAGCCUGCUGCAGGUCUGUGACAGCUAUGCCCUAAAAAGGAAAUCCAGUCUGUGGGCAUGAUGGGAGGGGCGGAGAGAGCCAGGAGCUCAGGCCAGUACUCAGAUGAUCUUCCCAUCAACCAAAUAUUGUUUCUCUGAUGGGAUAUGAUGAUAACACAAAUGGACUGGAGCCAGCUUCAAGGACAUGCAUUCCAGCUCCUCAGAUCCUGUUCCUCAUCUCUCCGACACACUCUGCACAUGAAGAUCAAUGGAGCCAAGGGCAGCGUGUAAGGGGAUCCAGGGCCAAGGAGGAGAGCAGAGUUGUGUUUUAUUUGUUCUGUGGCGCAGCCCCGUUUGACUUGAUCCUCUCCCGUUUCAUUCAUCCGGAAAAUCUGCUGUGUGUGAGUGAAAACUGGGGGAGUGGGUCUCACUUGAUACUCGGAUGUAAUGAGGAACUGCCAGUCAUGUUAAAGGGAUAGUCCACCCAGAAAUGAACAUUCUGUCAUCAUUUACUCACCCUUUCUACAUAAACAUAAAUUUUGAGAAAAGUUUUGGUGCUAUUUUCGUCCAUACAGUGUUAGUCAGUGAUCACUAAACCUGAUAGUUUACCAGCAUUCUUCAACAUAUCUUUAUUUUAUGUUCUACAGAAGAAAGAAAGUCUUAAAUGACAUGAGGGUGAGUAAAUGAUGAUACAAUUUCAUUUUUGGGGUGAAUUAUCAAGCAUUAAGCAUUAGAAAAUUAUAGUUAAAUAUAUUAAAACUAGGAAAAGAUGAGAAAAAAAAUGUUUCAGUGAUAGGAAAGUGUCAUUUUACAGCUCUAAAUGUUGAAUAUUGCUAUCUUUUUGAUGUGUGUAAUUUUUCUGAUCUCAUUUUCUUUAUCAUAGUCUUAAACUUUAUUUGUAAUUCUUCAUUUUUAAUUCACCAAACUGGGGGAGUGUCCAGGAAAACUUUCCAUUUUGUGAUGCUAGUUUUGCAGAAAUUACGCAGAAAUCUCACACUAUAGACAACAGAGAAUGGAGAAUGCAUCAAGAAAAUUAGGUUGGGGUCUCUGAGUGCAUUGUAGUGCAUUACUUGCUUAGACAUGACAGAGAUAUGACUUUAAUUCAGUCUUUUGUAAUUAACCUCCGGGCUUUCCUGUGCGCUCCUAAUUACUCUGCAUAAACAAUGUGGGAUCAGUGCUAAUCUGAAAGAGCCCAUUCAGAGGCUUUCAUGUGGGGCAUCUAAUGGGCUCUGCAGGCGGGGGAGUGCAGGCUGAUCCGGAGGUGGUUGGGGUGGGGGGGAUUCACAGGAGGGAACCGUUGACAGAUCCCAACACUAAAUCCACAUACCAGGGCUGAGGGCAUAAACUCAACCUGGUUUCUUCCACUCUGAAGCCAUAACCACCAAACCCACACCACAAAUGCAGCUACUGCCAGUCUCGAUGCAUGCUUACCGCUUAAGAAAAUUGAUCAUGUGACUCUUUGUACAGACGGUCAGAUGUUCUUCUUUCAUUGAAGCUCAAGAUGCUCUUUCUAAUUGAUCCCAAAUCAUGCUGGAGAACAUCAUCAUCAUCAGGUUUUACACAUGUAGAUCUAGUGCUGCUGUCAUUAAAGCAAAAGAGGGUCGAACCAAAUAUGGAGACAUACUUUUUACUCAAAUUAUGUUAAUAUAAUUUGAAAUAAAAAAGUUGAAUUAAAUUAUAAAGAUACAAUAUGGAAGCAUUUUUGAAUUGUGUGAUGAAAUGAAAUACUGUAGACAUGUCAUUGUUUUCCUAUUCUCUUUUCUAUGGUAAUGAUUUCACUAUCAACAGUUUUCUCAACACCUUAUCUCUCACACCAUGGGCUCUAUUUUAUCUUUCUAUUGGGAGUAUGCAAUCAGCAGCAAGUCUAAAAGACAGCUGUGCUGAUAAGAAAACCAUUCAUUAAAUCGGAAGAUAUUUUGGUUUACUUUUUUCACAUAGGCACAACAUCCUGGAUUAGGAAUGUAAUGGCUGAAACAAUAUCUUUCCUGAAUUAACUUAUAAAAAUGGUUAUAGUAUAAUAUGUGAGAAUGUACUAAAAUGACUCUUUUUAUUAAAUUUUCAUAUAAGACCACAAAAUAACAAUAAAUAUACUUCAGUUUAA